GGAGCGUUCUGUAAGCCUGCGAAGGUGUGCUGUGAGGCAUGCUGGAGGUAUCAGAAGUGCGAAUGCUGACAUAAGUAACGAUAAAGCGGGUGAAAAGCCCGCUCGCCGGAAGACCAAGGGUUCCUGUCCAACGUUAAUCGGGGCAGGGUGAGUCGACCCCUAAGGCGAGGCCGAAAGGCGUAGUCGAUGGGAAACAGGUUAAUAUUCCUGUACUUGGUGUUACUGCGAAGGGGGGACGGAGAAGGCUAUGUUGGCCGGGCGACGGUUGUCCCGGUUUAAGCGUGUAGGCUGGUUUUCCAGGCAAAUCCGGAAAAUCAAGGCUGAGGCGUGAUGACGAGGCACUACGGUGCUGAAGCAACAAAUGCCCUGCUUCCAGGAAAAGCCUCUAAGCAUCAGGUAACAUCAAAUCGUACCCCAAACCGACACAGGUGGUCAGGUAGAGAAUACCAAGGCGCUUGAGAGAACUCGGGUGAAGGAACUAGGCAAAAUGGUGCCGUAACUUCGGGAGAAGGCACGCUGAUAUGUAGGUGAAGUCCCUUGCGGAUGGAGCUGAAAUCAGUCGAAGAUACCA
rnacentral:rRNA from 1 species